UAAGUUGUUUUAGGAGAAUAUAGUUUGUU
rnacentral:piRNA from 1 species